GCCCUGGUGGCAUAAUGGCUAAGUGCUAGGCUACUAACUGAAAGGUUGGUGGUUCAAACCCACCCCGUGGCU
rnacentral:tRNA from 1 species